GGGCUGGUUAAGGGAGCCGGUGUUCCCCGCGGACUGCAAACCCGUAGAAGGUCUUGAUAGGAUCUUGGUCGGUUCAACUCCGAACCCAGCCU
rnacentral:tRNA from 1 species